UACAGAGGGGGCAAGCGUUGUUCGGAAUUACUGGGCGUAAAGGGCUCGUAGGCGGCCAACUAAGUCAGACGUGAAAUCCCCAGGCUCAACCUAGGAAUUGCAUUUGAUACUGGCAGACUAGAGUGCGGUAGAGGAUGGUGGAAUUCCCGGUGUAGCGGUGAAAUGCGUAGAUAUCGGGAGGAACAUCAGUGGCGAAGGCGGCCAUCUGGACUGACACUGACACUGAGACACGAAAGCGUGGGGAGCAACAGG
rnacentral:rRNA from 1 species